rnacentral:rRNA from 1 species
UCCAGACUCCUACGGGAGGCAGCAGUGGGGGAUAUUGCACAAUGGGGGGAACCCUGAUGCAGCGACGCCGCGUGGGUGAAGGAGCGUUUCGGCGCGUAAAGCCCUAUCGGCAGGGAAGAAGGAGGACGGUACCUGACUAAGAAGCCCCGGCUAACUACGUGCCAGCAGCCGCGGUAAUACGUAGGGGGCAAGCGUUAUCCGGAUUUACUGGGUGUAAAGGGGGCGCAGACGGCAGCGCAAGCCAGGAGUGAAAGCCCGGGGCCCAACCCCGGGACUGCUCUUGGAACUGCGCGGCUGGAGUGCAGGAGGGGCAGGCGGAAUUCCUGGUGUAGCGGUGAAAUGCGUAGAUAUCAGGAGGAACACCGGUGGCGAAGGCGGCCUGCUGGACUGCGACUGACGUUGAGGCCCGAAAGCGUGGGGAGCAAACAGGAUUAGAUACCCGGGUAAAA